rfam:TPA: Bos taurus chromosome 28, whole genome shotgun sequence.
GCCCUGGUGGCUCAGAUGAUAAAGCUUCUGCCUGCAAUGCAGGAGACCUGGGUUCAGUCCCUGGCUUGGGAA